CCGAUUAGAGUUUGAUCCUGGCUCAAGACGAACGCUGGCGGCGUGCCUAAUACAUGCAAGUCGAGCGAAUCAAUAGGAGCUUGCUCCUGUUGGUUAGCGGCGGACGGGUGAGUAACACGUGGGCGACCUGCCUGUAAGACUGGGAUAACACCGGGAAGCCGGUGCUAAUACCGGAUAAUCCUUUCCCUCGCGUGAGGGAAGAUUGAAAGUCGGUUUCGGCUGACACUUACAGAUGGGCCCGCCGCGCAUUUAGCUAGUUGGGGAGGUGACGGCUCACGAGAGCGACGAUCCGUGACCGACCUGAGAGGGUGGAUCGGCACACUGGGACUGAGACACCGCCCUCACUCCUACGGGAGGCAGCAGUAUGGAAUCUUCAGAAUGGACGAAAGUCUGAUGGACCACGCCGCCUGAGCGAUGAGGCCUCUCGGUCGUAUGCUCUGUCUGCAUGGACAGAUGUAUCUGACUCCUGCUCGGCCUUGGCGUUCCUCCCUCCAACGCGCGGUUCCUCCUUCCCCCGCGCCGGUCCUCCUUGCCCGUACCGCUUGCUUACUUUCGUCCCCCCCCGCUCCCCGCUCCGUUUNUNCUUCUGCUUCCCCCCCCUCUCUCCGUCGCUCUUGUCCCGCCCCUGCGGNCUCUUUGGCUCUCUUUUCCCUCCUGGGGCGCGUUCGUGCCCUCUCGCCCGCGGACAUCCGUUGCCCCCACUUGGCCUGUUCCCGCUCCGUCCUUUGUCGUCUCCGGCGUAACCCUCCGCUAGCGCUCCUGCGUUCUGUCUGCCCU
rnacentral:rRNA from 1 species